rnacentral:rRNA from 1 species
CGUGGCAAACGGGUGAGUAACGCGUGGGCGACCUGCCUUCGAGUGGGGGAUAACCUUCCGAAAGGAGGGCUAAUACCGCAUGACAUCCCGGGUUUGGAUACACGGAGAUCAAAGCUGGGGAUCGCAGGACCUGGCGCUUGAAGAGGGGCCCGCGUCCGAUUAGCUAGUUGGCGAGGUAACGGCUCACCAAGGCUCCGAUCGGUAUCCGGCCUGAGAGGGCGGACGGACACACUGGAACUGAGACACGGUCCAGACUCCUACGGGAGGCAGCAGUGGGGAAUUGUUCGCAAUGGGCGCAAGCCUGACGACGCAACGCCGCGUGGAGGAUGAAGACCUUCGGGUCGUAAACUCCUUUCGACCGAGAUGAAAAGGCGCCGGCCUAACACGCCGGCAUCCUGACAGUAUCGAGGGAAGCAGCCCCGGCUAACUCCGUGCCAGCAGCCGCGGUAAUACGGGGGGGGCAAGCGUUGUUCGGAAUUACUGGGCGUAAAGGGUUUGUAGGUGGCCGACUAAGUCAGACGUGAAAUCCCUCAGCUUAACUGGGGAACUGCGUCUGGGACUGGUCGGCUUGAGGGUCGGAGAGGAACGCGGAAUUCCAGGUGUAGCGGUGAAAUGCGUAGAUAUCUGGAGGAACACCGGUGGCGAAGGCGGCGUUCUGGACGGCAUCUGACACUGAGAAACGAAAGCCAGGGGAGCAAACGGGAUUAGAUACCCCGGUAGUCCUGGCCCUAAACGAUGAAUGCUUGGUGUGGCGGGUAUCGAUCCCUGCCGUGCCGAAGUUAACGCAUUAAGCAUUCCGCCUGGGGAGUACGGUCGCAAGGCUGAAACUCAAAGGAAUUGAUGGGGGCCCGCACAAGCGGUGGAUCAUGUGGUUUAAUUCGA